ACGAACGUUGGCGGCGUGCUUAAUACAUGCAAGUCAACUGAAGCAGUGGUAGCAAUAUCGCUGUGGAGGUGGCGCACGGGUGAGUAACACGUAGGUAAUCUGCCUUCAGGUCUGGCAUAACUCCGGGAAACCGGGGCUAAUAGCAGAUGAUGCAGCGGCUCGACAUCGAGACAGUUGUUAAAGCUAUGGCGCCUGAAGAUGAGCCUGCGUCUGAUUAGCUAGUUGGCGGGGUAACGGCCCACCAAGGCAACGAUCAGUAGCUGGUCUGAGAGGAUGAUCAGCCACACUGGAACUGAGACACGGUCCAGACUCCUACGGGAGGCAGCAGUAAGGAAUAUUGCUCAAUGGGAGAAAUCCUGAAGCAGCAACGCCGCGUGAGGGACGAAGGGCUUUUGCUUGUAAACCUCUGUAGUAAGAGAAAAAAAUCCCAAUCUUUGGGACAUGAUGGUAUCUCAAAAGUAAGCCCCGGCUAACUACGUG
rnacentral:rRNA from 1 species